UACGUAGGGUGCGAGCGUUGUCCGGAAUUAUUGGGCGUAAAGAGCUCGUAGGCGGUGUGUCACGUCGGCCGUGAAAACCUGGGGCUUAACUCUGGGCGUGCGGUCGAUACGGGCAUCACUAGAGUUCGGCAGGGGAGACUGGAAUUCCUGGUGUAGCGGUGAAAUGCGCAGAUAGUCAGGAGGAACACCGGUGGCGAAGGCGGGUCUCUGGGCCGAUGACUGACGCUGGAGGCACGAAAGCGUGGGAGCAAACA
rnacentral:rRNA from 1 species